rnacentral:pre_miRNA from 14 species
ACGUCAACCUCCCCGCACGUCGCCAGGGCAACCGUGGCUUUAGAUUGUUACUGUGUGGUGCGUGGGUAACAGUCUACAGCCAUGGUCGCUGGGCCGGACGCAUCUCGUCGCCGGGCUG